rnacentral:rRNA from 1 species
AGAGUUUGAUCAUGGCUCAGGAUGAACGCUAGCGGCAGGCCUAACACAUGCAAGUCGAACGGCAGCGGCACUUCGGUGGCCGGCGAGUGGCGGAUGGGUGAGUAACGCGUAUGCAACCUACCUUUCACAGUGGGAUAGCCCAGAGAAAUUUGGAUUAAUACCGCAUAGUAUGCAGGGCCGUCAUCGGUUUUGCAUUAAACAUUUAUGGGUGAGAGAUGGGCAUGCGUUCUAUUAGUUAGUUGGAGUGGUAACGGCACCCCAAGACCGCGAUAGAUAGGGGCCCUGAGAGGGGGAUCCCCCACACUGGUACUGAGACACGGACCAGACUCCUACGGGAGGCAGCAGUGAGGAAUAUUGGACAAUGGGCGCAAGCCUGAUCCAGCCAUGCCGCGUGCAGGAAGACGGCCCUAUGGGUUGUAAACUGCUUUUAUACGGGAAGAAACCCCCCGACGUGUCGGGGCUUGACGGUACCGUAUGAAUAAGGAUCGGCUAACUCCGUGCCAGCAGCCGCGGUAAUACGGAGGAUCCGAGCGUUAUCCGGAAUCAUUGGGUUUAAAGGGUCCGUAGGUGGACGAUUAAGUCGGAGGUGAAAUCCUGCAGCUCAACUGUAGAAUUGCCUUUGAUACUGGUUAUCUUGAAUCAUUGUGAAGUGGUUAGAAUAUGUGGUGUAGCGGUGAAAUGCAUAGAUAUCA